rnacentral:rRNA from 1 species
GUUUGUGGCGAUAGCGAAGAGGUCACACCCGUUCCCAUACCGAACACGGAAGUUAAGCUCUUCAGCGCCGAUGGUAGUUGGGGGUCUCCCCCUGUGAGAGUAGGACGCCGCCAAGC